rnacentral:tRNA from 1 species
GCUUUCAUGGUGUAGAGGUCAGCACUCUCGACGCGUAACCAAGAGGUCCGUGGUUCGAGUCCCGGCGAAAGCG